GACGAACGCUGGCGGCGUGCUUAACACAUGCAAGUCGAACGGAAAGGCCCUGCUUUUGUGGGGUGCUCGAGUGGCGAACGGGUGAGUAACACGUGAGUAACCUGCCCUUGACUUUGGGAUAACUUCAGGAAACUGGGGCUAAUACCGGAUAGGAGCUCCUGCUGCAUGGUGGGGGUUGGAAAGUCUCGGCGGUUGGGGAUGGACUCGCGGCUUAUCAGCUUGUUGGUGGGGUAGUGGCUUACCAAGGCUUUGACGGGUAGCCGGCCUGAGAGGGUGACCGGCCACAUUGGGACUGAGAUACGGCGCAGACUCCAACGGGAGGCAGCAGUGGGGAGUAUUGCACAAUGGGCGGAAGCCUGAUGCAGCAGCGCCGCGUGCGGGAUGACGGCCUUCGGGUUGUAAACCGCUUUCGCCUGUGACGAAGCGUGAGUGACGGUAAUGGGUAAAGAAGCACCGGCUAACUACGUG
rnacentral:rRNA from 1 species